GACGCUGGCGGCGUGCUUAACACAUGCAAGUCGAACGAUGAAGCCCAGCUUGCUGGGUGGAUUAGUGGCGAACGGGUGAGUAACACGUGAGUAACCUGCCCUUAACUCUGGGAUAAGCCUGGGAAACUGGGUCUAAUACCGGAUAGGAGCGUCCACCGCAUGGUGGGUGUUGGAAAGAUUUAUCGGUUUUGGAUGGACUCGCGGCCUAUCAGCUUGUUGGUGAGGUACUGUACCUCACCAA
rnacentral:rRNA from 1 species